GCUUUCUAACACUCAAAUGAACAUAAUGUCGACCAGGUAUCAUACUGGAAGCAAAACCAUAUCAAUGAUGUAUAACAAAUAGGUCAUUAUAAAAACAUCAGUUCAAUGAAGACAUUAAGUUGCACGUGAUGACAUACAAAGUAUAUCACACUUCUUUUUAGACUCAAUAACUAGAGGCUUUAAAGAGCCUGUGUCGCUCACCUUGGUCUAUGUGCAUAUUAAAUAAAGGACACAGAUGGAUUCAUGACAAAAUUGUGUUUUGGGGAUGGUGAUGUGUUUGUAGAUCUUAAUUUACUGAACAUUCUUGCUUCUUGCAAUUAUCUCAAUUUAUAAUGAAUUUGGCCCAUUAGUUACAGAGGAAAAUAUUUUGUUAAAAUUUACAAAAGUUUACAAAAUUAUUGAAAAUUGACUAUAAAGGGAAAUAACUCCUUAAGGGGGUCAACUGACCUUUUUGGUCAUGUUGACUUAUUUGUGGAUCUUGCUUUGCUUAACAUUAUUCCUGUUUACAGUUUAUCUCUAUCGAUAAUAAUAUUCAAG
rnacentral:lncRNA from 1 species